CCUGGGAAAUUUUGUAAGUCGCUCUGGAUAAGAGCGUCUGCUAAAUGACUUAAA
rfam:Salmo salar isolate Sally breed double haploid chromosome ssa07, whole genome shotgun sequence.